ensembl:misc_RNA 7SK 7SK RNA
GGAUGUGAGGGCGAUCUGGCUGCGACAUCUGUCACCCCAUUGAUCGCCAGGGUUGAUUCGGCUGAUCUGGCUGGCUAGGCGGGUGUCCCCCUCCUCCCUCACCGAUCCAUGUGCGUCCCUCCCGAAGCUGCGCGCUCGGUCAAAGAGGACGACCUUCCCCGCCCCCCGCCAGGAGAGGAUCGGUCUUCGGUCAAGGGUAUACCAGUAGCUGCGCUCCCCUGCUAGAACCUCCAAAACAAGCUCUCAAAUAAGAGAAUAAAAGCUAACAAUGUAUUGCUAUUUACCAUGAAAUAGUGGACUUUUUAAAGAU